rnacentral:rRNA from 1 species
AAUCCAUAGGUUAAUGAGGCGAACCGGGGGAACUGAAACAUCUAAGUACCCCGAGGAAAAGAAAUCAACCGAGAUUCCCCCAGUAGCGGCGAGCGAACGGGGAGGAGCCCAGAGCCUGAAUCAGCAUGUGUGUUAGUGGAAGCGUCUGGAAAGGCGCGCGAUACAGGGUGACAGCCCCGUACACAAAAGCGCAUGUGUUGUGAGCUCGAUGAGUAGGGCGGGACACGUGGUAUCCUGUCUGAAUAUGGGGGGACCAUCCUCCAAGGCUAAAUACUCCUGACUGACCGAUAGUGAACCAGUACCGUGAGGGAAAGGCGAAAAGAACCCCGGCGAGGGGAGUGAAAAAGAACCUGAAACCGUGUACGUACAAGCAGUGGGAGCACAGGUUUACCUGUGUGACUGCGUACCUUUUGUAUAAUGGGUCAGCGACUUAUAUUCUGUAGCAAGGUUAACCGUAUAGGGGAGCCGGAGGGAAACCGAGUCUUAAUUGGGCGUUAAGUUGCAGGGUAUAGACCCGAAACCCGGUGAUCUAGCCAUGGGCAGGUUGAAGGUUGGGUAACACUAACUGGAGGACCGAACCGACUAAUGUUGAAAAAUUAGCGGAUGACCUGUGGCUGGGGGUGAAAG